rnacentral:rRNA from 1 species
GAAUCUUCGCUGGCCGCGUGCCUAACACAUGCAAGUCGCACGAGAAAGGGGCUUCGGUCCUGAGUAAAGUGGCGCACGGGUGAGUAACACGUGAAUGAUCUACCUUCGAGUGGGGAAUAACUGGGAGAAAUCUCAGCUAAUACCGCAUAAUACCUACGGGUCAAAGCAGCAAUGCGCUUGAAGAGGAGUUCGCGGCAGAUUAGCUAGUUGGCGGGGUAAUGGCCCACCAAGGCGAUGAUCUGUAUCCGGCCUGAGAGGGCGCACGGACACACUGGAACUGAAACACGGUCCAGACUCCUACGGGAGGCAGCAGUGGGGAAUUUUGCGCAAUGGGGGAAACCCUGACGCAGCAACGCCGCGUGGAGGAUGAAGUAUCUUGGUACGUAAACUCCUUUCGAUGGGGAAGAUAAUGACGGUACCCAUAGAAGAAGCCCCGGCUAACUUCGUGCCAGCAGCCGCGGUAAUACGAGGGGGGCAAGCGUUGUUCGGAAUUAUUGGGCGUAAAGGGUGCGUAGGCGGUUUGAUAAGUCUGAUGUGAAAUCUCUGGGCUCAACCCAGAGUCUGCAUUAGAAACUGUCGGGCUUGAGUAUGGGAGAGGUGAGUGGAAUUUCCGGUGUAGCGGUGAAAUGCGUAGAUAUCGGAAGGAACACCUGUGGCGAAAGCGGCUCACUGGACCAUAACUGACGCUGAGGCACGAAAGCUAGGGGAGCA